rnacentral:lncRNA from 1 species
CCCUUGCUUUCUUUCGCCCUAGUUUGUUCCUUUGCUUGUGUUUCUGAGACUUAUGAAUUUAGUGCACUAUAGUAUAAGUAGAGAGAAUAGAAUAACAUAAAAACACUCCGGAACCCACCUAAGUUAGCCCUUAGUUAGUCUGGGUGCUUGUGUUGUCUCCUGCUCUGAACCUAUUAUUGUUGGCUAGAAAUCCUAAUCAUAGAAUUGAGCGUGCCCUCCCCCACAUAUAGAAAUUGUUCACAACCCCAGUUUACUUAACUGCAUUGCUUGUUUUCCUUUUGCGUGUUCAUUGCAUUGUCGAACUCAUUAAUGCCAUAUGGGGCUUGUUCCCUGUCACUUGGCUUGUUUCAAAUCAUCCCUCUUUCCACUAAUUUCGAAUAAAUAAAGAAAUCCAUCGAGCAUAGCAUAUAAUAGCUUAAUGAAGAAAUAUCGCAUAUUAUAUAUAAAGGAACUAAACACUCUCUGAAAAAGGAACUAAACACUCGAUCUCUUUAAGAAAAGAAUGGCUACUUUACUUACUCAUAACAGAGCUAGUCCAGCUUUCCCUUGCAGUGGUCGGUAACAAAACCGAAGGGCAGACUAAGGGCCCACAUAAAGAAAGAGUCUUUACGAAAAGAAUCCUAAUGAAAUCGUAGAGUUGAGAGCAUUAGGUAUGUCAUUGUUCCCCGCCUAGGCGCCUAGGUCUUAUAGGAUUAAGGUCACUAACCCAUCCUCUUCUCUACCUAGAGCAUUAAGGUCACUAACCCAUCCUCUUCUCUACCUCGCAAACCAUAGUACAACUAAACAGGGUGAAUCAAACUAAAGGUACGUAAUCAAUCAGCAGAUCAAGCCCCUUUUGCUAAGGAGACACCAGAAUAUAUCCCUUUGCCCACCUCUUAUCUUAGUUGGUGCCCGACCUCGACUUGUUGUUGAAAUGCUUUGUAGCCCUGUCAUCUUUACCCCUUUGGACUGUAUCGUACCGCCCUGGAUUCUUGACUCUAAACCUAAGAAGACCGGUGUCGGUAACACCUCUGGUCGGUAACUACUCGGGAAAGACGAUAGGUAACCACAUGGAUGGAUAGCUUGUGGCCCUUACCCUUAGCCCAAGGUGUCAACGCAAAGGGUGCCAGGAGUCUCUCUUGGUUGCCGGGACGGUGAAGAACUCAAAGUAUAGAUGUAAGGUGAAAGGGCUAGGCGCUUCAGUCAACAGUGAAUAGAGAUUCGUAUGAGAAAGGAGCUUCUAGAGUGGAGUAGAACUUCGCAUUCGGCUUCUGGAGACUUUGAUACUUAUGGUCAUUGCUAGGUCAGGUCUACAGCCUAUAUACUUGCUAUCUAUGCCUAUAUACUUGCUAUCUAUAUUAUAUGCCUAUAUACUUGCUAUCUAUGCCUAUAUACUUGCUAUCUAUAUUAUAUGCCUAUAUACUUGCUAUCUAUAUUCUCUAAAUAAAGCAAGCAACGGGCAGGGCGCAAACACCCAAAGAUACUCGCAUUCAGUAUACCGACCCUACCCCUAUAUCUACUGUUUUCUCUUUCUUUCCCGCUCACUCUUUCCACUCCAAAAAUCCAAUAUAUAUAGAUGGAUAUGCUUUAGUAGAUAGAUAUGAUUUCGUUUUACUUUCCUCGGCGCGUAAGGAGUUGAGAGUUUCAAGAGAAGGAUCUGAAGCGUUAGAGGCAAGUCCGGGAAAAAGGCUGUUUUGGGAAAAGGCAAGUAGCAGAAAUAUGGUUGCGAUACCGUAGUGAAAUGCAUAAGCAAAUGAACUUCCUGUCCUGGUUCCAUUCCAUAAGUUCCAUUCAGGUUUUUAGACUCCAGUUUAUGCUCUAAUAUCAGUAUAAAGUCUUGUGAGGGUAAGUCAAGAGCAGUUUCGUUAUUUCUUUCUAUUAUCGUGGGGGAGCACUAACAUUCCAUUCUCAAGUCCAGUGUUGGGGCG